ACAUGCAAGUCGAGCGGCAGCGCGGGGCAACCUGGCGGCGAGCGGCGAACGGGUGAGUAAUACAUCGGAACGUACCCUGUCGUGGGGGAUAACCAACCGAAAGGUUGGCUAAUACCGCAUACGACCUGAGGGUGAAAGCGGGGGACCGCAAGGCCUCGCGCGAUAGGAGCGGCCGAUGUCGGAUUAGCUAGUUGGUGGGGUAAAGGCCUACCAAGGCGACGAUCCGUAGCUGGUCUGAGAGGAUGAUCAGCCACACUGGGACUGAGACACGGCCCAGACUCCUACGGGAGGCAGCAGUGGGGAAUUUUGGACAAUGGGGGAAACCCUGAUCCAGCCAUUCCGCGUGAGUGAAGAAGGCCUUCGGGUUGUAAAGCCCUUUCGGCAGGAACGAAACGCGGGGCUCUAACAUAGCCUGCUAAUGACGGUACCUGAAGAAGAAGCACCCGCUCACUACGUGCCAGCAGCCGCGGUAAUACGUAGGGUGCGAGCGUUAAUCGGAAUUACUGGGCGUAAAGCGUGCGCAGGCGGUUUUGUAAGACAGAUGUGAAAUCCCCGGGCUUAACCUGGGAAUGGCGUUUGUGACUGCAAGACUGGAGUGCGGCAGAGGGGGGUGGAAUUCCACGUGUAGCAGUGAAAUGCGUAGAGAUGUGGAGGAACACCGAUGGCGAAGGCAGCCCCCUGGGUCGACACUGACGCUCAUGCACGAAAGCGUGGGGAGCAAACAGGAUUAGAUACCCUGCUAGUCCACGCCCUAAACGAUGCGAACUAGUGUUGGGGAAGGAGACUUUCUUAGUACCGUAGCUAACGCGUGAAGUUCGCCGCCUGGGGAGUACGUUCGCAAGAUUAAACUCAAGAAUUGACGGGGACCCGCACAAGCGGUGGAUGAUGUGAUUAUUCGAAUGCAACGCGAAAAA
rnacentral:rRNA from 1 species